CCGGCCGAGCCUUCAUUCAUUGGCCGCCGCGGCUGCCACUCGCAGCUCCCUUCCGAAGCUCCUUUGCGAAGAGGCCGCCCCGCCGGAGCUUUGAACUGCUGCGCGCGGAGGCAGCAGCAGCAGCAGCGGCGGUGCAAAGUAAGAUGCCUCAAUAAACAAAAUGAGCGUGUUUGGUGAUUUUGAUUCACAGAUUUAAGUUGAUGUCAAGAAUCGCUUCAGCAGAGAAGAGCUUUCUCAUACAUCUUUUUAACUAUCAAGGUGAGGGGAUGGCCAAAGAUACUAGAGUCACUAAAUUCGGCUUCGACUUUUGGCUGCACAAGACUAUUGAAUGGGGUCAGACAAGCACUUCAGAAUCUCAGCAAGAUGUCUGCCUUCACUUGCCUGAAUUACAGGAAUUUCUACUACAGAUUUAUGGAGCUUUGAAACAUAUGAACUGUACUAGUGCAAUCCAAGAGUUCCCACUAAUUGGUCAAUUAUUGGGAAGACUUUGUUGGAACCCCUUUGUCAUUGGCUAUGACGAAUGCCAGAAGAUUCUAAUGUGGUGCUUAUGUUGUCUGUACAGUGGUGAACCACAGAACCCUGUGGAAUUGAAGGCCAACAGCUGGAUACAAGGUUCAUUGUGCCACUUGCUCUCAUUUUCUGGGCUGAGAAAUCAUGACCCUGAUAUCAACAACUUUAUUUCAACUCUUGGGUUCACGUCUGCAGAUUACUAUUCUAAAUUAAUUGAAAAUGUGGUCUUAUCAUUAGUGACAGAACUCAGCAGAAAUCAGUUUAAUGGACUUAACAGACAACAAAGUAUGUCUUCACGAGUAAAAUCCAUAUCCCUUCUCUGUAUACCUCUUAUUACUUUGCCUGAUGUAAUGCCACUGCUGGAAGCGCUUCUUAGCUAUCAUGAAGACAGAUCACAAGAGGUCCUCCAUGCUGAAUUUUUAGAAGCGGUGAAUAAGGCUGUGUUACAAAAAAAGAUUUUCUUGCCUGAAUCUGCUGUGCUGCAGUUGUGGCUUCGCCAUCUGCCUGGUCUGGAGAAAGCAGUGCUGCAGAAUCUUGAAAUUCUAAUCUCAACUCAGCCAAGUUCACUGGAAGAGAUGGCAUGCCUGAUAAAAUCUUCCUUAUUGGACCAAGCUGCAUGUCAUCCGGCUGUCUUCAGAACUAUAGACGAAAUUUUCAAGAAUGCACUGCUGGAAACUGAUGGAGCACCAGAAGUAAUGACCGUAAUGCAGGUAUUUACACAGUGCUUUGUUCAAGCAUACCACAAGAAUAAUAAGCAGCUUAAGUUUCCACUGAAGGCCUACUUUCCUAAUAAUCCUCAUUCACUUGUGAUGGCUUUCCUUAAACAUCCCUCAGACUUGCCAGCUACUGGUUUGCAUCAACACUUGACCCACAUUGCAGAAAUGCUCAAAGCAACAGUAGAAGCAAAGUGCACUGGGUAUUGUGGAGACCUCUUUGAGAACUGGUUUUUGUUUGUUCAUUUCGGAGAAUGGGCUGAUAUCGCAGCAGAACAGUUGUUGUCACAAGUGGAAUCCUCAGAUGCGUUGUUGUGGCUUUUGGCAUUUUACUAUUAUCCAGGUGAAGAGAAUCGGCGGAGAACUCAAACAAUGGUGGAAGCAAGAUCUGUAUGUGACCAUCUGACUGCCCUGUUCAGAACUCCAACUAUUUCUGUCACAGAUCUGCAGACUGCAGUUAGCAGCGGAACAAAACAAAACAAAUCAAGUAGCAACCUGGUAGUUACACACCUGAUUAUCAGCUUUCUGCUGUUUACUCCUACUGGACAUACAGUAGCCAAAGAAUUUAUUACCCAUUUUGUAGUUGCAGACAGUGAAAUCCCAGAAGUUACUGGUCUUCUAACUCGUCUUGCAAAUAGAGUCGGCCAACUUGGAAUGAAAUAUCAAAGGACUGUAAAGCUGGUGAAUGAUCUCCUCCUAAAACUAAAAUGUGGAUUUUAGUUUUCUUUGUGAUACUCAGCUUCGCCCAAUAUUCAGUCUAACUAAUCAGAACAGCCAGAUGGAGGAUGGAGAGAAGAGCUUGCAUCUAUUUCUGCUCUCAUUUUGUCUUCUUGGAAACUAGACUGCCAUUAGCUAAAUGAAAGUCCUCUGCAGUGUUUUCUUCAAGCAAGCCUCCUGGUUCUGAAGAAGGAAAUAGGUACACUACUGUAAUGCUUUAUGGGCUUUUAUAUUUAGGUUUUGAUAGCCUCAACAUGAAGUUGAAUUAUUCCAAUUUGUGGUAAAAAUCUUAAGAUUCUUCAAUGCAUUUUUGUUAGAAAAGAAACAAGUGCAUGAAGAAGCAGCCUAGGAUUCGUAAUUUACUGCAUCAACAGUCUCUAAAGACCUUACCAGUAGGGUUGGGCAAUGUUUUCAUACAUCGUACAACACUGGUUUGUAGGCCAUACUGUGAGAACAGUUUCAAAAUAACUGAGCUGGCGAAGCACAGCCUUCAGUCGCAAUGUUUAGCUGUUGAUAUAUCACGAUGUUGAAAACCAGAUAUCGCCCAGCCCUACUUACCAAUUCUAUCUGUGUUAUUUGGCAUAACUUCUGGAUUGGUUUUCUCAAUUUCAACGUGUCAUAGAACUAACUCUUAACUUGCGAGACACCACAAAAUUAACCUGUGUCAGCUCAUCACAACAGUGUCUUGUGUGACCCUUUAAAAAGUAAAUAUUUAUUGUAGCAUACGCUCUUGUAGAGUUCAGUUUAUUUGAUGAAUUGUAUUGCCUUAAGCAAUUAUAUAAGAAUUCUUCCUCAAUGUCUGAUGUAUUGCCUUUUCUACACUACCAUGAUCCAGAGAUUUACAUGGUAAAAAGGGUGCUGCUCUAACCCAGAGAGACAAAGAAGUUGCCUUAGACUACCGAUCCACCCAAUCUGGCAAACCAGCAUAUAGUUAACAAUAGUAUAGCGUAAUCUAUUGUUAUGUCAAAAUAAUAGCCAGCACAAUGUGUUCUUGCCCACCAGAGAUGUUAUGAUAUUUGGGAGGAAAAGUUUAUUUUAUUUAACAAAUGGAAGUUGGCAUAUCUAUGUAAUCGAGGGGGAAUUAUUAACUCAAUGUAGGAACUGUAACCCUUGGGCAACAUCCCUGUUGUUUGACAGUGCAACAAGCUAAACAUGAACAUCCAGAGAGGAUGACGACAACAAUGGUGCUGCACUUAAGGCAAUGCUUUUUCACUAGGUUAACAGGCUGUGCUGAGAGAGAUGCUCGGCAAUAUAAUUUAUAUGUUGACAUUUAACAAAUCAAAAUAAAAUCACAAGGACAGAAAAAAAGGCAACAGCUCCUUCAUGUACAGUGGCAAAUGCAUUUGAGUCGCCUUACUCAGCUUUUGCAUCUUUCUCAAUUGAACAACAAAAGAAUUACUUGCUUUCUCUUUGUUAUUUUCUGCAAAAAAAACCCUGUGAAAUAGAGCAUAACUUGCUUCAUGAAUGCAGCAGAUCCUUUCUUGAAUACAUCAAAAGGUCUACAUUAACUGUGACUGCAGUAACUCAGUAUGGUGCCAUACAAACUCCAGAUUUCUCCUGAAUUUGGAAGACUGAAUCCAGGACUGCUGUCGGAGCAUAUUUCAGCUAAUUAGAGUUUGGGAACGGAACUCUUUUGAGUUGGACACCACAGACAGAGAAGCUCUCUUGUGUGCAUAUGGGCACUUGGUGAAUGCCCCUAAGGAAGGUAAGCAGGAAGAGAGUUUCUGGUUUUGUGCAUUCAUAAAGGUUUAUUAUUCUCUCCUUCUCUUUUUGUAGUCAUCAGUAAACCAACUGAUAAUUUUGAGACGAAAUACAAAGGAGAAAAUACUACUUUGGCACAUGCGUGAUUUACAAAAUUGUUUAUUUAUAAAGCUUAUUGCCAUUAUUUUACAAGAAAGGACUUCCACAACUACUGUGAUUAAUAAGUAACAUGAUUAGCUUCAUUCAUAGCAAAGUGAUGUGACCAGCUUGUCACUAUUUCAUGGUUAAGAGUUUUAAUGGUGUGCUCACAAUAUUGUGGCAAUAAGUUACCCAUUAAAAAAAGACCUUGAGAAAGACAGACAUCUUUGUCACUUCAGUUUUCUUCAGAUUAAACAUCCCCCAAGAGUCCAUUUUGCAUCUAGUUAUUUUCCCCUGUAGCUGUGCUAAACAUGAUAAAAAUGUCCACAAUCUCAAUAUUAACAAUUUAGAUUAGUAAUUACUUGUUUGCUCCAAACCAACUUUAAAUUUUGCAGCAGAUUUUAAUUAUCAGUUUGCUAAAUGCAAAAGUAGUACAAAAUACCUAUUUAAAUAAAUCUGUCUCCGGUGAUUUUCUGGCCUGGUUUGCAUAAUACCUCAUGAUAAAUAUUACAAUAAAGUGUCUUCUGGCAGAUAAUAAGAUGGCGCCACAGACACUUACAGAAGUGAGGGGAUGUUGGAGUUUUUUCCUGCUUCGUUGCCAUUACCCUCUGGCAAAGAAAAUGGGGUAAAAUGUUUGUCAGCUGAUUGUUUUAGCAGUCACAUAAAUUGUUCCUUUGAUGUCCAAGGUCAAUGAAAUCUUAGUACCACCAGCCUUUGCUAGAAGAUACAUUAAAAGUCUCUGAUCUUUCCUGCAAGGGAAACAGUGGUAAAACUUAUUACUCUGUCACAGUGAAGGAAUGCUUGUAAAAAAGUUCAGUAAUGUAGGGGAUGGCUUUUCUUUACUAUCCUUCUUGAAAGGGGGCAUCUCUCUCAAUCUCAUUUUCCUUGUAUGCAUGAAGUGGGAGAGAAUCGCAACAGAUGUAAUGGAGUAGAAACUGGAACUUGAUAUCCAUGUGAAUGUCACAUGCUCUGUCAUAAGGCUGAAUGUAACUUGAGAAGACAUCAGGUCCAGUAUUCCACAGCAUAGUAUAAAAAGUCACACCACAGUAGUAUUCUGUGACUACCAGCACAGCUUCCUUGAAAAUAUAUUUUAAUUGGAAAGAAGAGCAACAACAAAACAUUCUUCCCCUGUUCAGAAAAUAGCAACUAGUAGGUUGAAUGCCUGAAUGAAGUAGCCAGGAUGCUUCCUCAUUGAAGGAGUAAUCCUAACUUGACACAGCCUACACAUACCUCACCCACCCACUGGCAAAGCUACUAGCUCCUUUUGCAAGAGCAUGGCAUGUAGUCCAUGUAAGGAUUUGUUUGUGAUCCACAUCAAAGUACUGGUCUGUUCUAUCUUUGGUUUCAGACAUGAAGUAAGAGUUAGGUUUUCAUAGGCGUCUGUGCAUUUAGAAAAGAAUCUUUUUUGCUUUAGGGCUCGACUCCUGUUCCUGCUGAACUGAGCCAGUAUAUAAAAUCAGAACUGAUAUCAGCUCAGUAGGCACCGGAGGACGGGUCCAUCGACAGCCAGGAACAGUAUCUGCUGCAAAGGGACAGUUCCAAUAAGAAACAGCCAUUUAAUAUCAAUAAUAUACACACUGGACUUUGCACCCAUCGGGGCUGCUUUAAGAACGGCACAUUCUUUUAUAAAAUACAAUACUUUUUAGCAUUAGGCUCUUCCACAGUUAUUGAUUACUUCUAUACUGUAGCCAAGCAAGGGUGUUUUCUCACGUGGAUUCUUUGCAUUCUUGGCAGGAGGAAGCGUACAGGGUUUGCAUCUUUCCCACGGCUUCUUCGCCUGUUACAAUCUGCAACCUAGAUUCCAGGCAAACAUGUGCUAUGAUACUACUACAGCAGCAGUCAACAUUUUAAGAGAGUUUUCCAUCUCACCUUCUCUUCAGGUGCAGAACUUAGCCACUGUGAACAAAGAGGAAAUCAGUCACUGUUCACCAAUCAGCUAAGCUCUGCACCUCGCUAGAGAGGUCUUCAUCUGAACAUAGUUACAAUAGCAGCUGAAGUCCUUCAGUGACUUGUCUGUACAUUUUUAGGAGAAGUAGAUUCAGGGGUUCCAACAGUAUGGAUAGGAGAUUGCCAUACCUACAUGCAGUUACAGAUGCCAAUGUCAUGGUUAUGUGGUAAUCCCUGGCAAUGUGAUUUUAAUCUUAAGUCACAAAUCAGCAUGCCAGGAACCCAAACAACCAAAACGAAGGAAAUGUGGGUGGCUUUUCUCUUUUCCAUCAAGAUAACUUGAAAAAGCUAAUCUUUUCACUCAUUUCGUUUACAUGCUAGAAUAUUCGUUGGCUCACCAUUUGGGCUACUCAAAACAAAUCAUACUUAUCAGCUCUAUAAAACAGUAUAAAAAAGUUCAUAAAACAGUAUGAAGAGUAUUCUAUUGCCAACAGAGUUAAGUGUUCUUAAUAUAAAUUGUUAUUUUUAAUUAAAAAAAAUUAGGGUGGUGGAUUGAAUGAAUUGCUCACACAGUAGAAGAAUAACCCAUUUGAAAUUUGAAUUUCUGACUCUGUUCUAAAUAAAUUAAGGUGAAACUGAACACGUUAUCAAAUCACAUUUUGCUAGUUCCUUAUAGUCUACAUUAACCAGAAGCCAAGCUUGAAUAUAUGUUUGUAAGCAAAGCCCACCAGUUUAUUUGGUAUAUCUUUGUCCCCCCACAUAUGAAGAACAAGAUUUUCCAUAUUCAACAUCAUAACCAGAGCAGCCCUUUCUACA